rnacentral:rRNA from 1 species
AGCGGAGGCCUAACACAUGCAAGCCGAGCGGUAUUGUUCUUCGGAAAUGAGAGAGCGGCGUACGGGUGCGGAACACGUGUGCAACCUGCCUUUAUCUGGGGGAUAGCCUUUCGAAAGGAAGAUUAAUACUCCAUAAUAUAUUGAACGGCAUCGUUUAAUAUUGAAAGCUCCGGCGGAUAGAGAUGGGCACGCGCAAGAUUAGCUAGUUGGUGAGGUAACGGCUCACCAAGGCAAUGAUCUUUAGGGGGCCUGAGAGGGUGAUCCCCCACACUGGUACUGAGACACGGACCAGACUCCUACGGGAGGCAGCAGUGAGGAAUAUUGGUCAAUGGGUGCAAGCCUGAACCAGCCAUCCCGCGUGAAGGACGACUGCCCUAUGGGUUGUAAACUUCUUUUGUAUAGGGAUAAACCUACCCUCGUGAGGGUAGCUGAAGGUACUAUACGAAUAAGCACCGGCUAACUCCGUG